CAACUGUUACAACGGCAACAACUGUUACAACGGGAGUUCCAACCACGGCAACAACUCCUACAACAAGAGUUCCAACCACGGCAACAACUGUUACAACCGUAGUGCCAACCACAGCAACAACUCCUACAACAAGAGUUCCAACCACGGCAACAACUCCUACAACAAGAGUUCCAACCACGGCAACAACUCCUACAACAAGGGUCCCAACCACGGCAGCAACUCCUACAACAAGUGUUCCAACCACGGC